GCCCAAGAGAUCGGGAUAACACCUGGAAACAGAUGCUAACACCGGAUAACAACAGAUGAUGCCUAUCAACUGUUUAAAAGAUGGUUCUGCUAUCACUCUUGGAUGGACCUGCGGUGCAUUAGCUAGUUGGUAGGGUAACGGCCUACCAAGGCGAUGAUGCAUAGCCUAGUUGAGAGACUGAUCGGCCACAUUGGGACUGAGACACGGCCCAAACUCCUACGGGAGGCAGCAGCG
rnacentral:rRNA from 1 species